AGCGAACGCUGGCGGCAGGCUUAACACAUGCAAGUCGAGCGGACCUUUCGGGGUCAGCGGCGGACGGGUGAGUAACGCGUGGGAACGUGCCUUCCGGUUCGGAAUAACCCUGGGAAACUAGGGCUAAUACCGGAUACGCCCUUAUGGGGAAAGGUUUACUGCCGGAAGAUCGGCCCGCGUCUGAUUAGCUUGUUGGUGGGGUAACGGCCUACCAAGGCGACGAUCAGUAGCUGGUCUGAGAGGAGGAUCAGCCACACUGGGACUGAGACACGGCCCAGACUCCUACGGGAGGCAGGAGUGGGGAAUAUUGGACAAUGGGCGCAAGGCUGAACCAGCCAUGACGGGUGAGUGAUGAAGGCCUUAGGGUUGUAAAGCACUUUUAUCCGGGACGAUAAUGACGGUACCGGAGGAAUAAGCCCCGGCUAACUUCGUG
rnacentral:rRNA from 1 species